AGCAGCCGCGGUAAUUCCAGCUCCAAUAGCGUAUAUUAAAGUUGUUGCAGUUAAAAAGCUCGUAGUUGAACUUCGGGGUUUACUUAUUGGUCAGGCUUAAUUGUCUGUACUGGUGAGAUGAAUCUCUACCUUCUGAGGAACUUUCAUGUCAUUUUAUUUGGUGUGAUUGGAAAUCAGGACUGUUACUUUAGAAAAAUUGAGUGUUUAAAGCAGGCUAACGUCU
rnacentral:rRNA from 1 species